rnacentral:lncRNA from 1 species
ACUGUCGGUCGGCGGCUAAGGAGGGGAGGCACCUGCAUCUGGGGCGCGGCGAAUCCUCGCGUGCGCCAGGCCGCCUGGGGUAGUCGCCGAGACUGCGCCGGCCAGCGGGGCCGAAACCUAAUCAGGAGCUGAGCUUUGAUGGCGGCUUCUGGAGGGACAAAGAAGGCGCAGAGCGGUGGGAGGAGGCUGCGAGAACCUAGCUCCCGCCCCAGCCGACGUGCGAGACAAAGGCCCCGGCGCGGGGCUCUUCGGAAGGCCGGGAGGUUCCUGUGACAAUGCGAGUCUGCGCCCCACGCUCCCGCACCGUGAUGCCGAGGCCAAAUGGCUAGAGUGGGCCCAGGCAUCAGCAUUUCUGUUUGGCAGCCGGGCAGUUGUGGUGCACGUUUUGAGGAACUACUAAAGCCUGCCUGUGAUGAAAAAGGCAAAAGCUGACUUCACCAAAAUUACUCCCAGGGAGACUUCUGCAUUUGGCUGGAAGGACAUUUGAGUAAACCGCUGAGGCUGGUGGUUGAAACAUAAUCCUCUAAGGGAGAUCGGUUCCGAUACCCUGAGUUAGGGACGCUUGCCUGGGCAGAGCUAAGGGGAGAAUGAUCAAAAGCCAAGCUCUGUCCCCGUCAGCACGUCACCCUCCCUCACUGUAAUCCCUGACUGUUUUCUCUAAAUGAAGAAUUAUUUAGAGAAUAUAAAUUAGAAGGGCCGCCACGUCAGAAUUGCCUGAGUGGGAGCAGUCUUUCCAGCCUCGAAAAAUGUUUAAACAAUAUGCAGAUGACCUAGCACAAAUAAAGAAUGCUAGCAACCGCUGUUAUGUGUGAGCGGUGGAAUUGGGAGGGCUCUUCCCCCAAUCUUCAUCAAACAGAGUAAGGUUUAGAAUAAAAAUAAUGAAAUACAGUCUUUCAAAAAGAGCAGCGCUUGACUAAUGUUACUGAUGUCACUCAUGUUACUCAAGGGAGGAAAGAACUCAAACUCUACAUAAUAAUACCCACUGAUUUCAAGGGCUGGCACGGAGAAUUAAGCAGACCGCCAUUCUUUAUAUUUGUUUUUUUGUUGUUGUUUGCUUAUGAUUUUUUUCUUUCUUUUUUUUUUUUUUUUUUUGAGAAGGGGUCUCGCACUGUCACCCAGGCAGGAAUGCAGUGGCGCGAUAAUGGCUCACUGCAAUCUCACUAUAUUGACCAGUAUGAUUUUCAACUCCUGUCUUUAAGCGAUCCUCACGCUUCGGCCUCCCAAAGUGCUGGGGUUACAGACAUGUGCCACUAUGCCCUGCCUAAAUAUGUUUAUAUAUACUACCGCCAAAGAAACAAUUUGAAGACGAUCUUUCCCCAGCCCCUCUCCUUCUGAUCCAACUCCAAGAGCUCACCCUCCCUGUAAGACCUGUAGCAGAGCACGUAUUGGCCUGCUGAUACUAGGGGCAAAGACCGGGCCGAUCAGAUGUUACAUGGCAUAAGGGCGAAGGAUUCUGAAAGAAAGACUGAGACUUGCUGGAGGAAGUACUAGUAGUGCCAAGGGCAGGAACUCAACUGUUAGGCAGAAGGGAGGAAUGUACUGUUGAUAUGGACAGACUCCAAGAAGGGGAGGGACUGCUGGGACUACUAGAACGAGAAUGCCUCUGCCCCUAUGGCUCAGCUCUGCAACUCUCUCUGCACAUUGGCUUCAUGCUGUUAGACCAGCUUCCUCCAUAUGUCUGGAAACAAGGCCACUGACAGCUCCCAACAUUUCAUCUUCUGCCUCAUCAUCAGACAGGCGAGUGCAGUGGCAUAAUCUCGGCUCACUGCAACCUUUGCCUCCUGGGUUCAAGCAAAAACUGGAAUGAUGCAGCUUCAGGCCAAGGAAUGCUGGCAGCCACCAGAAGCUGAAGGACACAAGGAAUGGAUUCUCAGAGCCUCGGCAGGAAAUGUGGCCCUGCCAACACCUUGAUUUCAGACUUCUCAACUCCAGUACUGGGAGGGAAUAAAUUUCUGUUGUUUUAAGCCUCCCAGUUUGUGAUAAUUUGCUACAGCAGCCACAGGAAGCAAAUAAGGAGGGCCUAUUUGGAGGAGGAUGCAAACCCAGCAGUGGGUGAUGAACUAUUCUUACUUACAGCUACCUUAUUCAUUACUAGUCUAGACUUAAGCAUUGACUUCAUCACUGAAAAGGCUGCAGCUGAGCCUAGAGUUUCAGGUUCCUGUGCUGCAUAUGGCUACAGUGAUUCUUAGGUCAGCUCCCUAGGAUGCAGUUGAGUCUCUCUCUAACUGAUGAGUCUCUUUAAAUAUACAGUUGGGGCUGGGUGCGGUGGCUCACACCUCUAAUCCUAGCACUUUUGGAGGUUGAGGAGGGAGGAUCACUGGAACCCAGGAGUUCAAGACCAGCCUUGCCAACAUAGUGAAACCCAUCUCUACUAAAAAAAUACAAAAAUUAGCCGGGCAUGGUGGCGCACACCUGUAAUCCCAGCUACUCGAGAGGCUGAGGUGGGAGAAUCACUUGAACCUGAGAGGCAGAGGCUGCAGUGAGCCAACAUCGUGCCACUACACUCCAGCCUGGGCAACAGAGUGAGACUCUGUCUCAAAACUAUGUAAAUAAAUAAAUAAAUCUACAGCGGGCCCUCCCUGUUCUUGGGUUCUGCAUCCAUGGAUUCAACCAAUUGUGGAUCAAGAAUAGGUUCAUCUGUACUAAACAUGUAUAGACUUUUCUUCUUGUCUGUAUUCCCUAAAUGAAAUAGUAUGACAAGCCAAGCAUGGUGGCUCACACCUGUAAUCACAGCACUUUGGGAGGCUGAGGCAGGAGGAUUGCUUGAGCCCGGGAGUUUGAGACCAGCCUAAGCAACAUAGACCCCAUCUCUACCAAAAAAAUUUUUUUAGCCAGGCAUGGUGGCGUGUGCCUGUAGUCUUGGCUACUCAGGAGGCUGAAGUGGGAGGUUCACUUGAGCCCAGGAGGUCGAGGUUGCAGUGAGCUGUGAUCGCGCCACAGCCCUCCAGCCGGGACGACAGAGUGAGACCCUGUCUCAAACAAACAAACGUAGAUAUAUAGUACGCCAACUUACAUAACAUUUACAUUGUAUUAGGCAUUAUAAGUAAUCUAGACAUGAUUUAAAGGAGGAUAUGUAUAGGUUACAUGCAAAUUCUAUACCAUUUUAUAUAAGGAACUUGAUCACCCAUGGAUUUUGGGUGCAGGGUCUGGAAACCAAUCCCCCACAGAUAUUGUGGAGAGAUCAUACAUUUUCAUCUGAUAUUUUGACUUCUAACCUGAAAUUGUAUAUUUGCUCCAAAGUGAAACUCUUCCUAAGAGUUUUUAUCUUAGACACAUGGAAUCCAAAGAACCUUGAGGAAUUAUCUGGUAUAUCUCACUCCAUUAUUCAUGGAAAC